UACGGGGGGGGCAAGCGUUGUUCGGAAUUACUGGGCGUAAAGGGCUCGUAGGCGGCCAACUAAGUCCGACGUGAAAUCCCCAGGCUUAACCUGGGAACUGCGUCGGAUACUGGAUGGCUUGAAUUCGGGAGAGGGAUGCAGAAUUCCAGGUGUAGCGGUGAAAUGCGUAGAUAUCCGGAGGAACACCGGUGGCGAAGGCGGCUUCCUGGACCGACACUGACGCUGAGGCGCGAAAGCUAGGGGAGCAGACGGG
rnacentral:rRNA from 1 species